rnacentral:lncRNA from 1 species
AAACAAAGCAUCAGGCUGAAGGUGUAGCACCUGAAAUAAAAUACUUAAUCAGUCAGAUUUCUGAAGGAUCUUUUAGAACAGUGUGCACCAUAUACAGAUUUUUUUUUUUCUAAGCCCAAAUCAGAUAGAAGUUAUAGGUAUGUGGGUCUGUAACCUGAGGCUAGUGGAGUUUGUGCUCGUCCUUCCUCACUGUCACCUGAACAGUAUGUGAUAGAUUGUGAGUCUCUAUGAGUCAUGGAGCCCUGAAGGCUGUCAGUUCCAGAUCUAAACUGACGAUCAAACUUCGACUAGUAAAGGUGACUUGAGAAGGGUUUGUCUGGCGUCUUAGAAAAGGACUUUGUAUGAAGUUUGAAAUAAUAGUACUUAAGACAGAAAGACCAUGGUUGCUGCUGAUCAUUGGCUGUGUUUAAGUGAGGGGGACAUUUAUUAGUGUUCUGAGAAUGGCUCCUGGGAAUUCCUCACGUUUCUUUCCUAACACUCUUUAAUUUGGGUCACUACUCUGUUGCCCAACACCUGCUUCAGGGCCUGGCUUGGGAUUGUUUCUUCCCCUUUUACCCUCCUACUGGCAGUCAUUUUACUGUAAAUUAGGAAGUGUGGCAGAUUUUUUAGAGCCAGCCACCAUCCUGAUUUCCUUAGUGGCCAGAAGUGGCUUCUUUCUUGCAAGUGCUUUGUAGAACUGUGACUGGGCAGCCAUAGUUUCAUAAAAAUCUAGCUCUGUGUUCUUCCCCUUGUUUUAGUUCCCAAGUCAGUAGCUCCUAUAUCUGGCGGCUGUUAUUUCAAUCGACAGUGUACUGUUUGAGUGUAAUGCUAUUGAGAAGAAUGGCUGUUUCCUUAAUAACCAACUAUAAAAGAAGAAGAUCAGAGCAGUGUGGGAAUUGAGAGGAAGGAAAGAACAGAAAUUCUCAGUACUCUGGGCUUUUGUUGUUGAGAGCUGUCCUCUGUUUAGGACUAUAAAUGUUGAGCAACAUACGUGGUAGCUACCCAGUAGGUCUGAUAUUAUGUUCCGAUCCUCCACUUAUGAUAAAAUUUAUUUUCUCUAGAGAUCGACAGAAGUCCCCAUGGGCAUGGGAUUGGAAUGGCCCCUGGUUAAGAACCAGUGAGUUAAGUAGCCUGGGAACUGGGUACCAUUUGAGUCAAGCCUUGAAACAUGGGUGUGGUGCUGAGGCAGGGAAGGUAGGGGGUAUUUUUGUUUUUGUUUUUUUCUAAACAGAAAGAAUUUGAAGAUGAGUCAUAAUAAAACCGUUAAAUGUUCUAUCCAUUUCCCCCAAAGAAGGAAGAUAUGCAUUAAAGUUAUCCCUUAUGUGAUAAUUGGGUCUAACCUUUUCACAAAUGGAGUUUUUAAAAAUGAUGUUUGAGGCAGUCCUAUGUUUCAGUCCAGUAUUAAUGAAUGUUACAAGGGAAAAAAUUUACAAAAGAGAGAAUGGUGUCCUUUGCUAUGGCCUGAAGGUCUGUAAAUUUUUCUAAUGUUUUCCUCAGCAUGUUAUGGAUGGAAUAGGUUCUCCCAAGUAGAGUAAAUGGUUCAUAUGGGUACCAAACACCAGGAAGCAAAAUGAAAGAACAAAGGUCAUUAUUUAUGUCAGCCCCAGUUCAUUAUAUAUGUCAGCCUGAAGAAAAAGGAGAGAUUCUUGAUUCAAGACUAGCACGUCAUUUCAUGUGGCAGCAGAAUGCCCGGGAUGGUAACAAAGGCUCCUGGAAGGCUAAGACAUCUAUGAAUGGGAUUUUAUUCUAGCUGGACUUAUUAUUUCUUAGAUGGAGUAGGAUGGAUUAGAAUUUUCAAGGCUGGCUGGCUCUCUCUCUCUCUCUCUCUUAAUACAAAAUGUGGACCGAGAACAGUUUCUGAAUUUUUUUUCCUGUUUUUUCCCCACUAGAUAUGAUAGUUCAGCAAAUGUGCAAUGAAAAUCCUCAAGAUGAAAUCACAUUAUGUACCAUAAAAUGCUGGCAUUUUCAUAUCCAAGUUAGACAGUACUGUGUGAGUAGAAGCCUGGGCUGGAUGUGUGUUGUAGAAAGUGGAGUGCCCUUAGGUGCAUCUGUCUUUCGUCCUGCCUUAUUAGUAUGCACUUUAAGUGGAGAGACAGUCCCCUAUUUAUCCUUGGGUGCCAGAGAGGAGAGGAGGAUGUGACCUAGGGAGAAGCAUGCAUUGGAGCAGAGGACCUGAGGGUCUAUAGCAGACCUGAAGUGCAAGUGACAGACAGCUGCUUGCCUUUCCUAACACCCUUGAUUCUUACCAGCCCUUCUCUGACUCCCACAAGGUUAUCAGUUUGACACUUCAGGGUAAAUUGGGGCACCAAUUAGACCUGCACUGGGUGUGGAUGUGUCUCAGUAGAAAGACUCCCUCCGUGUAUCUUUUCCCUCUUUAAUUGCUUCCUCCAACCUCAAGAGUAGGCUUUUAUUGUAGAAUGAAUUGCAUGUGCGAUGAUCAGUUUUACUCCAUUACCUCUCUGGCUUAGAAUGAACCAUCAGUAGAAUUAACAAAAAUUGCAUCAUGGAGUUGGAGAAGGGCCACUGAGGAAGCAUUCUAGUCUUCCUACUGGAACAGUUCGCCUCCUGGGAUUGCUUCUCGUUGGAGUUGGACAAGUCAGAAGAUAAUGUAACUAAGAGAAAUUGAAGUUCUGUCAGUUGUUGGAAAAUGCAUCCAAUCAAAACCAUAUGCACAAAUGCCUUGGAUUAGCCACAGUAUUGGGAAUAUCAGUUUCAGAAAGUACUACUUUCAGUUGUGGGGAACAGUGUUUUACUUGGUCUGAUUCAAAGUUAGCAAUUAGAAUCACAUCGUUGGCCACACACUAUUACCAUGUCACUGGACAUGGUGACAGUAUUUGAGAUGUUAGAAUUGAAUUCAUCAUGUUAAACACUUGACAGUCUAGCUCUAGGCCAUAAGAAAAAUAUAAGUCCUUCCCUUUGACUCUGGGUUCAUCGUAUACAUCGAGCAUGUUUGCUUCUCUUCCAGAAUGGUUCUACCUCCAUUCAAGACAUCUCUGACAUGGAUUCAUCUUUUGCUCUCUGUGUUUAAUGGGAGAGAAUGAGUACUUUUAAUGAUUUAGUCAUCCUAUUCCAGUGCCUUUAAUAAGCUUCAUACAAAUUAAGAUAAAUGAAGCAACAUAGGUAACAGCAGCACCAACAAAAUACCUUGCCUCUUCACAUAGCAGCGCGUCAAUAGCACUAAUACUGAGCUCAAAUAUGGAAAUGCCAAGUACAAAUAUAAGGAGAAGUUCAUCUUUUAGGAACGCUCCUUGCUUAAAUCUCCAGAAUUUCAUCUGUUUCAAACU